UUGAUAGUUUACGUCAGCAGUAGUAGGAUAUCUCUUAAUGCAUUUUGGGCAGUGUCAAGAGUUAUCUUUAAAAACUCUAGAUAUUUAUCUCUUAGAUUUGCAAAAAAUGGGGGAAGGAAAAACAAGAAACGUUGCGAAGAAGAGGAAGGGGAUAUCUCAUAGCUUGCCUCGGCCCUAGCUGACGCGCUUCCUCAUACGGCAGCACGUCUAGGCUCGAUGGUGAACGAACCAUUUAAGUAGCAAUGCUUCAUUCUUCUGCCUUGGUUACUUCUCUCAACCCCUUCUUCAUAGAUCUAAGCCCACUUAUAACCAGCCUUCUCAGUUCCGCUUAUAACCACCGUGCAAGGAGUUCCUCAACCCUGCAAUAUGUCACUACUACCAAAAUCUGGUAUUGUAAUUGCGUAAUUAAUUAUGUUUUGCCUCAUCCCUAUGCAUCUACUAACUGGUGCUCUUAGGGAUUCUAUCUCUGUUACUUGCGGGAACAGUAAAAUUAUGGUCACUUCUGACAGCAACUUCUCCAAGAGAUAUAUUUUUCCCCCUUUUGUAUCAAUAGUUUGUUCUGAAUCAAUGGCAGUUCUAUUGUAAAUGUGGGUUUCGUAUAUGAUGAUGUUUGUAUAGUAGUUAAGUAUGAAAAUUAAUCACUAGGUUGAAGAUUUGUUACUUGUUAGUGUUUUAAAUGUUUACAAAAUAUUAGUUAUUGUGUGAUAAAUUAAUAUGACAUAUUUGGAUUUUGUUCUA